GGGGAAAUAAUGGAUAAUGAAGGAAAGUUUAGUAGUGUAUGCGUUAUAUUUUUUUUAAAUAUAUUUAACUAUAAAACGUUUAUUUUUAAUUAUUUUUUUUAACAAAGAUUUAGUAAGCUUACAUUUAAGUGGAAUGAAUAGAAGAGAAGUGAGCAAAGCGUAAGAGAAUGAGAUUGAGAAUCAAUUUAAAACAAAAAAAAAAUAAGUAGGGACAACCAUUUCGUUGAUCCCAAAACUACCGAGAAUUACACAAGAAGAAAAAGUACACAAGCGAAAAUAAGAAUCAAGAAAUAUUCAAAAAAAAAAAAAAAGAAAAACAACAACAAUACAAACAUACAUACAUGGAAAACAACAAAAGCGUCAGAAAACACAAAAACAUACAUAUUUUGAGCCCACAUCCGCAACAUCAAAUGUGAAGAAAGUUUCAAAAGAAGCUCUCAUCUUUGGGCCAUAAGAAGAAUGUGUAUAACAGUUGAUAAUGUUAUGUGUACAAUGUGCAACAGUUGAUGCAACUGUUGGCGCCCCGCUAUCGUUAUACAUAGUAUAACAGACCUCAACCGAAAACCCAAACCACCAAAAAGAAACAACUAUCUAUGUAUACAAUAUCGUUAAGAGCUAUACUGAUGGAUCAGUGUGUAUAUUGGGACUAUAUAUUGAUAGAAAGGGAUAUGGAUGGAUGGAACAAGAAACGCCAGCGAGAGCAAUGUUUACUGUACUGUACAGUUGUAAAAUAGUUUUUUGCGAUGCCUGAAACGUUGUUUGUAUAAAUGAAUGGAUACGAAAAUCAGUCCCUUAUUAUGCGAUGGAAAGAGUUACAUGAAAAAUUGUUGAAUUAUACUUAGUGCAGAAGCAGCCGAAAGAGAAGAAAGCAAAUGACGGAGAGUGGAUAGGAACGCUACAGCAAAUGCAAAGAGCGAGAGAUAGUGUUAAAGGAACUAUUGUAAUGUGUUUGCCUUGAAAUGAAAACAAAACUAACUAGAAAUGAAAUGACGGUGCUGAAAUGUUAAUUUUUUUUAAUCGAUCGUUAACGUUAAGUGUUACGUUAUAACGUUUGAGCGUGUAUGAGAGACAAGCUGUUAUACAUGGAUGGGACACUGCACUACAUACAUACUAAAUGCAAGAACAUAAACCAGCCAAUCCGUACCCAAAACAAAGUCUAAACUGAUAGCCACAACCAAGCAAUCAAAACAGAAGGAUGCAUUUCGUAGAGAUUGUAAUCGUAGCGUAAUCAGACAAUAUAUAAACCAUUCUCGUAACCGUAUUGACCAAACCCCAUAGUUAGAGACCGGAACCCAAGUAACUGAAUCGGAGCAACAACAAUCAAACUACAAUUUACUCCAGCCAAAACAAGCAGCAAUAGCAAUAGCCCAAUUUUGUGUUGUUUUGAGAUAGCUAUUAUCUAAUUUGUAACUAUACAGUUUUUUUUUUUUUGUAACGUAAAUAUUAAACUAAUUGAUAUUCCAUAGAGUUAGCAUUACGAAAUAGUUAGACGGACAGUCGACCACAUCAAAUCAAAGCCCUGAAAUCCCUAACGAUCCAACCCUUUUGUUUGUAUAACACUUGCUUCGGAGGCAGACAGUUCUAAAACAAAAAAAAAACACACACACACUAAAUGAAGAAAAUUAAGGCAAAUUCAACAUUUCGGCAAAAAGAAAAUCUAAAACACAAAACAUUUCGGUCAAAGAAGUAACAACAAAACGAAAACCUUUUUGAGCGGCACAUUAUUUUGGAACAAAUGACAUUGACAAAAUUUAUGGACAAAAACUCAAAGCCAACAAGAAGCGUAUACAAGCUUUAGGACAGCCCAAUUUUUAUGAAAUAUCACAUUUUCUUUGUUCUUUUUUAAGAAGAAACAAAAGAAAACAAACAGAAGCAGAAAAGAUGAAGAAAUUUGAAGAAGAUUGAAAAAGUAAUUAAAAUACCUCAAUGUAAGUGCAUUAUCUUCUACAAAAAAC
ensembl:ncRNA lncRNA:CR45204 long non-coding RNA:CR45204